GAUGAACGCUGGCGGCGUGCUUAACACAUGCAAGUCGAACGAGCCUUCGGGCUAGUGGCGGACGGGUGAGUAACGCGUGGGAAUCUGCCCUCAGGAGGGGGAUAACGGCCGGAAACGGCCGCUAAUACCCCAUAUGCCGAGAGGUGAAAUGAAUUUCGCCUGGGGAUGAGCCCGCGUCUGAUUAGCUAGUUGGUGAGGUAAUGGCUCACCAAGGCUUCGAUCAGUAGCUGGUCUGAGAGGAUGAUCAGCCACACUGGGACUGAGACACGGCCCAGACUCCUACGGGAGGCAGCAGUGGGGAAUUUUCCGCAAUGGGCGCAAGCCUGACGGAGCAACGCCGCGUGAGGGACGAAGGCCUCUGGGCUGUAAACCUCUUUUCUCAAGGAAGAAGACAUGACGGUACUUGAGGAAUAAGCCACGGCUAAUUCCGUGCCAGCAGCCGCGGUAAUACGGGAGUGGCAAGCGUUAUCCGGAAUUAUUGGGCGUAAAGCGUCCGCAGGCGGCCUUGAAAGUCUGUUGUUAAAGCGUGGAGCUCAACUCCAUUUAAGCAAUGGAAACUACAAGGCUAGAGUGUGGUAGGGGCAGAGGGAAUUCCCGGUGUAGCGGUGAAAUGCGUAGAUAUCGGGAAGAACACCAGUGGCGAAGGCGCUCUGCUGGGCCAUAACUGACGCUCAUGGACGAAAGCCAGGGGAGCGAAAGGGAUUAGAUACCCCUGUAGUCCUGGCCGUAAACGAUGAACACUAGGUGUCGGGAGAAUUAACCCUUCCGGUGUCGUAGCCAACGCGUUAAGUGUUCCGCCUGGGGAGUACGCACGCAAGUGUGAAACUCAAAGGAAUUGACGGGGGCCCGCACAAGCGGUGGAGUAUGUGGUUUAAUUCGAUGCAACGCGAAGAACCUUACCAGGGUUUGACAUCCUGCGAAUCCCUUGGAAACGAGGGAGUGCCUUCGGGAACGCAGUGACAGGUGGUGCAUGGCUGUCGUCAGCUCGUGUCGUGAGAUGUUGGGUUAAGUCCCGCAACGAGCGCAACCCACGUCUUUAGUUGCCAGCAUUCAGUUGGGCACUCUAGAGAGACCGCCGGUGAUAAACCGGAGGAAGGUGUGGAUGACGUCAAGUCAUCAUGCCCCUUACAUCCUGGGCUACACACGUACUACAAUGCUACGGACAAAGGGCAGCAAACUCGCGAGAGCUAGCAAAUCCCAUAAACCGUGGCUCAGUUCAGAUCGUAGGCUGCAACUCGCCUACGUGAAGGAGGAAUCGCUAGUAAUCGCAGGUCAGCAUACUGCGGUGAAUACGUUCCCGGGCCUUGUACACACCGCCCGUCACACCAUGGAAGUUGGCCAUGCCCGAAGUCGUUACUCCAACCCGCAAGGGAGGAGGACGCCGAAGGUGGGGCUGAUGACUGGGGUGAAGUCGUAACAAGGUAGCCGUACCGGAAGGUGCGGCUGGAUCACCUCCUAA
rnacentral:rRNA from 1 species